GAUGAAGAACGUAGCGAAAUGCGAUACGUAGUGUGAAUUGCAGAAUUCAGUGAAUCAUUGAAUCUUUGAACGCACAUUGCACCUCUCGGUAUUCCGGGAGGUAUGCCUGUUCGAGCGUCAUUUGUACCCUCAAGCUCUGCUUGGUGUUGGGUGUUUGUUCCGCCUCUGUGUGUGAACUCGCCUCAAAACAAUUGGCAGCCGGCGUACUUGUUUCGGAGCGCAGCACAUUUUGCGAUCCAGAUCAACGUACAGCGGCAUCCAAGAAGCCUUAUUUAACGCUCUUGACCUCGGAUCAGGUAGGGAUACCCGCUGAACUUAAGCAUAUCAAUAAGCGGAGGA
rnacentral:misc_RNA from 1 species